rnacentral:rRNA from 1 species
AUUGAACGCUGGCGGAAUGCUUUACACAUGCAAGUCGAACGGCAGCACGGACUUCGGUCUGGUGGCGAGUGGCGAACGGGUGAGUAAUACAUCGGAACGUGCCCAGUCGUGGGGGAUAACGUAGCGAAAGCUACGCUAAUACCGCAUACGAUCUAAGGAUGAAAGCGGGGGAUCGCAAGACCUCGCGCGAUUGGAGCGGCCGAUGGCAGAUUAGGUAGUUGGUAGGGUAAAGGCCUACCAAGCCGACGAUCUGUAGCUGGUCUGAGAGGAUGAUCAGCCACACUGGGACUGAGACACGGCCCAGACACCUGAGGGAGGCAGCAGUGGGGAAUUUUGGACAAUGGGCGCAAGCCUGAUCCAGCCAUUCCGCGUGCAGGAUGAAGGCCUUCGGGUUGUAAAUUGCUUUUGUACAGAACGAAAAGGCUCUGGUUAAUACCCGGGGCUCAUGACGGUACUGUAAGAAUAAGCACCGGCUAACUACGUGCCAGCAGCCGCGGUAA